rnacentral:rRNA from 1 species
CAAUAGCGUAUAUUAAAGUUGUUGCAGUUAAAAAGCUCGUAGUUGGAUUUCUGGAUGGAGCGACCGGUCGGGCAUUAAUUUGUCUGCACUGGAGUCGGUUCCGUCCAUCCUCUUGGAAAGUGCGUGGGGCAUUAAGUUGUCUGGCGUAUGAUCCAAGUCGUUUACUGUGAAAAAAUUAGAGUGUUUAAAGCAGGCCUUCGCCUUGAAUACAUUAGCAUGGAAUAAUAAGAUAGGACUUUGGUCUAUUUUGUUGGUUUGUAGACCGAAGUAAUGAUUAAUAGGGAUAGUUGGGGGUAUUUAUAUUCCGAUGUCAGAGGUGAAAUUCUUAGAUUUUCGGAAGAUAAACUUAUGCGAAAGCAUUUACCAAGGAUGUUUUCAUUAA